UGCUCCACAUAGAAAGCUACAACAGUGAAACGUGUACAGGUAGGGGAGUUAGAGUACGCUGACAAGCAAGAAGAAUAUUUGAUGAAUAUUUCUGACGACACGACUGCACUCCAGGAUGAAAUUGACGUUUUAAUAGAAGAAUGCAACAGGAAUUUGCUUGCGCUUCCUGAGAAGGCGGUUGUGUGUGUGUUGUGCGUUCUGUGUUCCAUGCCAUGUCGUCCAUUGAUAGGAACCAACUCGAUCGCAUCAGCGCUCUCUUGGAUUACCACAAGACAAGCCUUCUCCUCCCAAAACGAAGUCACUCAGGCACACAGCGUAGGACGAGAGGAAUGGAAGGCGUCGCCCCGGCUCUACUGAA